rnacentral:rRNA from 1 species
GACGAACGCUGGCGGCGUGCCUAAUACAUGCAAGUCGAACGCAGUGGGGACGGGUGAGUAACACGUGGGUAACCUCCCAUCAGCGGGGAUAACACUUGGAAACAGGUGCUAAACCGAUACUGAUGGAUGGACCCGCGGGGCAUUAGCUAGUUGGUGAGGUAAAGGCUCACCAAGCCGACGAUCUCUAGCUGGUCUGAGAGGAUGACCAGCCACACUGGGACUGAGACACGGCCCAGACUCCUACGGGAGGCAGCAGUGGGGAAUAUUGCGCAAUGGGGGCAACCCUGACGCAGCCAUGCCGCGUGAAUGAAGAAGGCCUUCGGGUUGUAAAGUUCUUUCGGUAGCGAGGCGUUAACUACAGAAGAAGCACCGGCUAACUCCGUGCCAGCAGCCGCGGUAAUAC